CCUUAACCCCCCCCACAUCUACCAGUUCCACCAGAGGAAUGGCUUUGCCUGCGUCCUGCUCUCGGACGUCCUCGAGCUGCUGCAGUUCCUGUUCGUGGUCACCUUCAGCACGUUCCUGCUGUGCUGCGUGGACUACGACGUGCUUUUCGCCACGCGCCCGCUCAACCACAGCCACGUCCCCGAGCGCGCCAAGGUGACACUGCCCGACGCCGUGCUGCCCGCCCCGCAGUGCGCCCGCAGGCUCCGUGGCAGCGGGUGGCUGCUGUUCCUGCUGGUGCUGGCAGGAGCAGUCUGGCUGUGCCGCCUGGUCACGGCGCUCCGGCGCCUCGUGGGCUACUGGGAGAUCCGGAGCUUCUACAUCCGAGCGCUCGGCAUCCCCGCGGUGAGGGGCCAGGGGCUGGGCGGG